GGUGGGCUCUGGGGUGGUGGUGGGCAUAAUGGGCCCCAGGGUACUCGGGAACAUGGUCUGUUUCUCAGUGAGCUCCAGGGUGGAAGACAAGUAGGCCAUUUGGUGGUCUGGAUAAGCAAAUGUUGGGUAGAGCAGGCCCCAGUGGGUUGUGUGGGCUUUGGUGUGGGUAGAGAAGCUGACCACAGCCCGUGUGGCAGGCGCCUCAACCCCCGGGAGUUUCUCAUCCUCAUCGUCAUAGUUGUCGUAGUCCAUGUCACCCCCGUCCAUGGGGCUGGGGCAGUCCUUCCCCUGGUAGGUGUGCACGGGCACAUUUUUCCAGUUGACACAUCGCACGCUGUCCACGUUAGGCGUCGUGGCUUUGGCUUCCACACCCUCCUUCCACAAGUAGACAUUAUUGCUGUUGUCCCGCAGCCAGCGAGCCAAGUAGAGGAUCUCGCAGUCACAAGACCAGGGGUUGCCAUGGAGGAAAGUGAACGGCAGGAGGAGGUCCCCAAAGAAGCCUUUAGGUUUUAGUCGUGAGCAACAGAAAAUGUUCCGGCUAAUUGAGGAUGAAAAGGGAUUUGCUGGAUGUACAUUGGCCACUCCACACACUUCCCAGUAAGGGCUGGAGAACCAGACCUGGAGCUACCCAGAGCAGACCCAGACUGCAGAACCAGUGUGGUGAGCCAAGCUCUGCUCCUGCUCCAACACCAGGUCCCACUGGUCUUGCACAGCCCCAGCUGCUGAGCUGGAGACCAGUGUCAACCACAACCGCCCCGCACACAGACACAAUCCUGCACCGCCUCUGCUCCCUUGGGCUACCAGCUCCCAAUUCCAAUUCUGGGUGUGUCGGUUUGAUCAUCGGCCUGUGACCUAGCUGUCAGGGAGUGUGGGAAAACAGGUCCGGCGGUUUCAGCUUCUGUAAUAGGAGGCUUCUUCAAACAUUCCUAAACUGAAGGCCUUUGCAGACAUGGAAAAGAGAUCCACAUGCUUUGGAACCCACUGAAACGAUCCUACAUUUUACUCUCUCCCUAUGUUCAUGCGCUGAACUUUUGUUCUAAUUUCACAUCUUUGAAUGCUUGGGGUUAACCCUACUUGACUGUUAUGAAUUCUUUUAAUAUGAUUCUAGAUUGGUUUGCUCACAUUGUAUGUAGAACUUUUUAUCUCUAAGAAAGUAGAAGUGGCCCAUAGAUUUCUUCUGAGGGACAUGGUCUUUUUCUGUGUGUUUUAUUUUGUUAUCAAAGUUGUACAGGCCUCAUAAGUCAAGUUGGAAAAUUUUAUAUUCUCUAGAAAAGUUUGAGAUCACAGGAAUUUUCCAUUCCAUGCAGGGUUGGUGGAAAUCACCUAUAAAACCGUCUGGACUAGAUGCCAUUUGGACGUUAGCUUCUGGAAUAUCUUUCCUGUUUCUACUAUAAUUUCAGGUCUGUUGAGAGGUUCCUUGAGUCAAUUUUGGUAAUUGACAGCUCCUCAUAAAAUAUCUAUCUCAUGUGGCUAUUCAAAUUUAUUAUUGCAGGUUUGAACACUUUAACACUUCUAUUAUUUAUUAAAAUCUCCAUACCUGGAAGUAUAACACUAA